CACAGGGAUUGCCCCAGUAACGGCGAGUGAAGCGGCAACAGCUCAAAUUUGAAAUCUGGCCCCCCCCGCGGGGCCCGAGUUGUAAUUUGCAGAGGAUGCUUUUGGCGCGGCGCCUUCCGAGUUCCCUGGAACGGGACGCCAUAGAGGGUGAGAGCCCCGUCUGGUCGGACGCCCAGCCUCUGUAAAGCUCCUUCGACGAGUCGAGUAGUUUGGGAAUGCUGCUCUAAAUGGGAGGUAUAUGUCUUCUAAAGCUAAAUACUGGCCAGAGACCGAUAGCGCACAAGUAGAGUGAUCGAAAGAUGAAAAGCACUUUGAAAAGAGGGUUAAACAGUACGUGAAAUUGUUGAAAGGGAAGCGCUUGUGACCAGACAUGGGGCGCGGCGAAUCAUCCGGCGUUCUCGCCGGUGCACUUCGCCGCGCCCGGGCCAGCAUCAGUUCGCGGCGGGGGACAAAGGCGCCGGGAACGUGGCUCCCCCGGGAGUGUUAUAGCCCGGCGCGCAAUGCCCCGCGGCGGACUGAGGUUCGCGCAUCCGCAAGGAUGCUGGCGUAAUGGUCACCAGUGACCCGUCUUGAAACACGGACCAAGGAGUCGUCCUCGUAUGCGAGUGUUCGGGUGUCAAACCCCUACGCGCAAUGAAAGUGAACGCAGGUGAGAGCCUCACGGCGCAUCAUCGACCGAUCCUGAUGUUCUCGGAUGGAUUUGAGUAAGAGCAUACGGGGCCGGACCCGAAAGAAGGUGAACUAUGCCUGUGUAGGGUGAAGCCAGAGGAAACUCUGGUGGAGGCUCGCAGCGGUUCUGACGUGCAAAUCGAUCGUCAAACAUGGGCAUGGGGGCGAAAGACUAAUCGAAC
rnacentral:rRNA from 1 species